rnacentral:lncRNA from 1 species
UACCCUUUCUCUAUUUCUCUCUCUUUUUCUCUACAUCUAUCUGCUUCCUAUCCCUCCAGACCACCUCGCUGGUAACCACUCGCCAAUAAACAAUGAAUACAUGAAUAUGAAAAUUUUCAUGAGAAUUUGCCGGUGUAUGUACGCACCGUGGCUCCACGCUGGAACCUCGAAUGAACGCAGUAGCGACACGGCGGCGUUGCACUCGGCUGCAUCAUCGUGCAUCGCAUCAAUUUGAGUGAGCGGAUGCUGUGUCAAUUGGAACGUGUAAAUCAGCGAUAGCGUUACUAAAGUUAAGACGCACAAGGAAGCACCGCGUAUUUGAUGAAGAUGACCGAACAAAAACGUGAACUCGCAAUCGUUAGAACGACGGAUGAAUCUCGUGCAUGUCUGGCGGACGUACCGUGGUAAAGGGACAUUGUAAAUUCAGGGACGGUACUGCAAACCUUCCUGGUACGCACGUACGCAUUCAUGCACGUAUGCACGCGUGCACGUCCGUUCUUUCGCGGACAGAUGAAAAAGACGGGAAAUGAGAUGUGCUUCGAGCUUGUAGCCCUCUUGCAGAGAUGACCAGUAAUUUGUUAAAGGAUUGACGUCUCGGAAAUUGGAUAUUAAACGAAUUCUUUUUUCCUCUUG